rnacentral:rRNA from 1 species
UACGUAGGGGGCAAGCGUUGUCCGGAUUUAUUGGGCGUAAAGAGCGUGUAGGCGGCUUGGAAGGUCCGUUGUGAAAACUCGAGGCUCAACCUCGAGACGCCGAUGGAAACCACCUAGCUAGAGUCCGGAAGAGGAGAGUGGAAUUCCUGGUGUAGAGGUGAAAUUCGUAGAUAUUCGCAAGAACACCAGUGGCGAAGGCGGCUCACUGGCCCGGUACUGACGCUGAGGUGCGAAAGCGUGGGGAGCAAACAGG